rnacentral:lncRNA from 1 species
GGAAAACAUAUGCGAUAACCCAGUGCCAAGAAGUUAGUAGAUGGACUGAAGAAGUCUUAGUAUCAUAAACCUGAAAACGCUGUAAGCAUUUCACGUGUAUUUUGCCUCUCAUCAUAUUUUCAUUCGGAUCCGAUACGCUGAUGGGAUUACAGUGAAUAUGAAGUCUGCAGUAUUAAAUGAUUUUUUCAUGUCAUUCCAAAUGUAUCUCAUCAGUGAAUCUCAAAUUCCAUUCUUUCGCUGCAUAUGAAAUGCAAUUUUAUUUACUCUAUACGAUUACAAUACUCAGAGCAGAAAUUCUCAAGAGCUUUGACCUUAAUUAAUGCUGUCAUUUUUCAUAAACAACUUACUUAUCUUUUUAUUAUUGCAUUACAUUAUCAAUUUUUAGAGAAACAAAAAGUUUCUGCUCUAGAGGAUUUUGUUUCCACGUGUCCUGAGGAAAACACGCGGAAAAUUAACGGGAACUAAAAUUAACUUCUUUUAUUUUAAUAAACAGAGUUUUUUAUGGCUUUGAAAUUAUUAAUAAAACAGAAGAAGCGAAGUUUAAAGUGCUCGGCAAUUAUAAGUGUAUACUUUUUGACUCUACAUACUUCAGAUAUGUAUUUAUGUACAUUUAUCUGCGUGUCUGUGUGAAUUCUUGUAACUUAAAAUUAACGCUUUCAAAGUAAAAAGUAAGUAAACAAAAGUUAAAUUUACGUACUUUAUUCUCUGUGGAGGAAUAAUUGUUUCUUUAAUUACUUUAUUUUGAUUACCUAGAAAUUCUGUUAUUAAUUAUUUAUUUUAUGAAAGAUCUUUAUUUUAAAGUGACUAUAUGCGUAAUUAAUUAAAACUGUAAAUGUUGAAAUUUUAUAAUUUAUUAAAAUUAUACGUUUGAAAACGUCUGAAAAAUGAAUGCUUCUGUUAGUGUAACUUUAUUGCUGAAUUCUAAUUUAUUAAGAAAUUUUCUUCAAUACAUUUUUAAUAGAUUUUAAGUAAAGUUCAAUAGUUUUAAGUAAAGUUCAAUAGAUUUUAAGUAAAGUUUAUAAAAAAAUUAAUUUUGAUAACAUUUCAAUCGAUAUUUUUCAACCUAGUUUUUAUUCUUUACGAACCCUAAUUGCAAUUAUCGAAAGCUAUCUGUGGUGAAAUGUAGCUUGAUGUAGCACAUUUUAGAAGAAUUUGGCUUUCCUUAUUUUAUAAAUGAAAUAGGCGAGAAAUCCAUGUCCUUAUUUAAGCUAUUCCAAGCCUUAUCCAAAGGCAUAUUGGAAUUCUCUCCAUUUGUUUUUGGUAUUUCUAUGAGUUAUUGAUGAGGUACUUCAGAAAAUUAUUACCCAUUGCUAUCUUGCUGAAGGAUAAAUAAUUUUUAAUUGACAGGGUAACAUACCGCUCGCAAGACGAAAAUAAAAUAAAACCAUUUACACUUUUGAAGAUUCUACGUACAUUGUGAAAAAUACCUAAGAAUUUAAUUCACUGAACGUUUUAGUUACGUUUAAUUUUUAUUCAGUUACAUUAUUCUCUUGAAAGACGAACGGUAAAAUUAAUCGUAAUUUUAACUGGACAUUCUGGGUUGCAUUUAUUGCUCAUCAUCGAAUGCCUACCAAUGAAUGUGUUUUGUAAAUAUUAUCAAUUAUCAACAGAUAACUUUAAAUGAAAAAUUGAAAGUUUUGUAAUUUUUAAUCUAAGGCAACAAAUUUGAAAAAAAAAAA